AUUGAACGCUGGCGGCAUGCUUUACACAUGCAAGUCGAACGGUAACAGGCCGCAAGGUGCUGACGAGUGGCGAACGGGUGAGUAAUGCAUCGGAACGUGCCCAGUCGUGGGGGAUAACGCAGCGAAAGCUGCGCUAAUACCGCAUACGAUCUAUGGAUGAAAGCGGGGGACCGUAAGGCCUCGCGCGAUUGGAGCGGCCGAUGUCAGAUUAGGUAGUUGGUGGGGUAAAGGCUCACCAAGCCAACGAUCUGUAGCUGGUCUGAGAGGACGACCAGCAACACUGGGACUGAGACACGGCCAAGACUCCUACGGGAGGCAGCAGUGGGGAAUUUUGGACAAUGGGCGCAAGCCUGAUCCAGCAAUGCCGCGUGCAGGAAGAAGGCCUUCGGGUUGUAAACUGCUUUUGUACGGAACGAAACGGUCCUGGUUAAUACCCGGGGCUAAUGACGGUACCGUAAGAAUAAGCACCGGCUAACUACGUGCCAGCCGCCGCCGUAAAAC
rnacentral:rRNA from 1 species